GUGCAUUUGUAUUCUAAGUUCCUAUCAUGUAUUGAUAAAUUAUUCUGGAGGGACCUAGUGUUUUGGAUUCUAGAUUAAAAUGGAGCUGACUCGCUUACCAAGAUUUGCAGGCACACCUCCCGGCGAGGACAUUUAUGAAACAUACAAGAACGAUUCUCUUGAACCUUCAUAGAAAGGCCCCCGCAUCAAUCUUACAGUUUCAACAGUCCUGCAGCAGGAUACGAUUUUUUCCUCAGCAAAAAAUGUUCUCAAAGGAAUUCCCACAGACAUAGCAGAAGGAACAAGACUUAAGAAAGGAUAUGGUAUCUAGUCCGAGUCCCAAGGAUCCCAUCACAACAGUCCAAUGAGAGUUUCAUCACUCUAAACAGCGUACCGUGGUGGAAUUCACCCAACAACUGAGUAACUUGUUCACUCAUAUGUCGGUGAGGAAUGCAAUAUCUCUUGUGCUUCGCAACCCACAAGCUCCACAAUGCCUGGAGAGGCGAUGAUUCAAGACAGGGAGUCGACUUCAUCGAGCAAGAGAGAUUCGCAGCGGGUUCGUUUAUGGAGGGGCUUGAUACACAGUGAUUAUUGUCCAUCUAAGAAGACCCACAUGUAUGCAUUGUUGGCGAGUAUUCUCUUCGUCGGUUCAGUCUGCUUUGUGGUCAUGAGUAGUCUCGGUCCAAAUUACAUGAAUAGUCGGAUCCAAGGUCUUUCGGUGUCACCUACUGGUGACAUUCCAUCUUACUCAAAGACCUCAAAGCGUGACGUUUCAGGCAAUGCUAAUGCAGCAGGAGGAAUGGACAUCAGUGCACAAAUUCAGAAGGCCGUCAUCAUUGAUGUCAAUGCAUCUGCCCCACCUGGACAGCUACUAUUGAAAGAUCCUGUGUGCUAUCAAAACAUGUCAGUAACAUGGCAUCAACUGAGUGACGAGCAGCUUCGACAGAAGGCGUCCGAGGCCCCUCUCCAGUCUAGAGGAUCAAAAAUUGCUUUCAUGUUCAUUACCAAGGGUCCCAUGCCUUUCGCUUCUAUGUGGGAACGUUAUUUCUGUGGCCACGAGAAUCAAUAUUCAAUUUUUUUACACGCUCAUCCAGACUAUGUCCCAUCACUCAACCCUGCAUC
rnacentral:lncRNA from 1 species